rnacentral:rRNA from 1 species
CCUACGGGAGGCAGCAGUGGGGAAUAUUGCACAAUGGGGGAAACCCUGAUGCAGCGACGCCGCGUGAGUGAAGAAGUAUUUCGGUAUGUAAAGCUCUAUCAGCCGGGAAGAAAAUGACGGUACCUGUUUAAGAAGCACCGGCUAACUACGUCCCAGCAACCGCGGUAAUACGUAGGGGGCAAGCGUUAUCCGGAUUUCCUGGGUGUAAAGGGAGCGUAGACGGCAGCACAAGUCUGGAGUGAAAUGCCGGGGCUUAACCCCGGAACUGCUUUGGAAACUGUGCAGCUAGAGUGCAGGAGAGGUAAGUGGAAUGCCUAGUGUAGCGGUGAAAUGCGUAGAAAUUAGGAGGAACACCAGUGGCGAAGGCGGCUUACUGGACUGUAACUGACGUUGAGGUGCGAAAGCGUGGGGAGCAAACAGGAUUAGAUACCCCAGUAGUC